CCGAGUUUACAACUCCCCAACCCCCUGUGAACAUACCUAUCGUUGCCUCGGCGGGAUCGCCCCGGCCGCCCAGCGCGCCGGACCAAGGCCCCCGCCGCAGGAACACAAAAAUCCUGUCAGUCAUCGGUGGAUUAUUCUGAGUGGGCCUCCGGGGCCUUUGAAAAAUAAAUCA
rnacentral:misc_RNA from 1 species